GACGAACGCUGGCGGCGUGGAUUAGGCAUGCAAGUCGAACGGUAUCAUCCUUUCGGGGGUGAGAGAGUGGCGAACUGGUGAGUAACACGUAGGUUAUCUACCCUCAAGACGGGGACAACCCAGGGAAACUUGGGCUAAUACCGGAUGUGAGCAACUUUUAGUUGUUUGAAAGGUGGCGUAAGCUGUCGCUUGGGGAUGAGCCUGCGUCCUAUUAGUUAGUUGGUGAGGUAACGGCUCACCUAGGCAAUGAUAGGUAGGCGGCCUUAACGGGUGGUCGCCCACACUGGGAUUGAGAUACGGCCCAGACUCCUACGGGAGGCAGCAGUCGAGAAUAGUCUACAAUGGUCGGAAGACUGAUAGUGCGACGCCGCGUGAACGAUGAAAUCCCUUCGGGGUGUAAAGUUCUUUUAUAUGUGAGCAGUGCUUCUUAUAUUAACAGUAUGGGGAGAGAGAUAUUAGCAUAUGAAUAAGCAACGGCUAAACUCCGUGCCCAGCCAGCCGCGGUAAUA
rnacentral:rRNA from 1 species